GUCCCUGAAGCGCAAUGGAUAGCGCCUUGAACUUGUAAUGAAAAGUUGGUGGGUUCAAAUCCCACUUGGGAUG